UUUCAAUUUCCAUCGGGUUACCUACGACAGGGCAGUACAGGCAUGCACCCUUUUAGGCCAGCGGGUGCUGUCGGAGAGCGAUAUACCCACAGAAGAACUCCGACAGCUCUGGCCAGCUUUUCGAAGAAUGGCUUCUCGAACCCCAGGGGCUUUGUAUCCUUACUGGCUGGAGGGUGCUAAACGAAUGUUGACUCCUUCACCUUCCAUGAACAAGUGGGACGUUCACUUUAACAAGUACCAGAUUCUCUGCUUCCAGGUGUGUGACAAUGGCCACAUAUUCGAUGGAAAGUGUGUCUGCAACUCCGGCUGGGCUGGAGAGGGCUGCACGAAGAUUGUGGACGCAAGUGGCAUAAAAUUAUGUAAGGUAUCCUCCAUCAACCAGUCAUUCGUCUUGGAUGCAGCCCCUCGCAUCGCUGGACAAGAAUUGUUGGCCAAAUCAUUCGAAGAAGCUGAAGAUUUAUGCAAACAGCGAGGUUUCUCCACCUUACAUUUCCACGAAGAUCCGCACUAUACCUGCGCUCGCUCCAUUUAUGCGAGGCACCAGAGUCUCCUUGACAGCGGAGCAGCAGCAAAAAUGAGUUUCUGGGAGAGCAACGACCAGAUUUACACUCUCCGCCCAAAUGGCAAACCCAUAUUAACGACACCAACCAAGAACACGA